rnacentral:misc_RNA from 1 species
AUGAAUGAACUGACUGAGCGCGCUCCUCGGAGCAGCUCUGGUCGUCAACACCUUGUGAAUUGUGAAUGUCUUUGGCAAGUGAUGCAUUUCGAGUAAUCGGAAUGCAGAGUUUCGCUCGGUUUGAGCGAAAGCUUGCCUAUGAAUUUUAAACUAUUGCCUUUUGAGCCUGACCAAUUUUUAUCAGAGAAAUACUGAAA